rnacentral:lncRNA from 1 species
CCUGAUUCUAUGUUUUUGAACCUUUUUCAGCUCGAGUCUUGCUCCACCUGUGUUAAAUUUACAACUUUGGCUUCAAGACCCAAAUGAAUGAAUAAAGGAAUUAAAAAAUACAUACGACAACAAUAGAUAAAUAACGACAACAAAUAAAUAACCAAAAAUAAGGCUCGGGUUUUGUUGUCGCUUCGAGAGCGGGAUUUAACCCAUUUCCCCUUCUUUCGACUCCUUGUAUCCAUAUGCUAUGUAACCGGCUUUGAGUUUCCUUCAUUUUGACUCAAAAAGAAGGGCCGCGUGGGCCCAUUAUGAGAUGCAAGGAAAAGGAGCCCGUUUGGGCUCCAAGGUGAUUCAUGCAAAGAAAAGAUACAAAGAAUUAAU